GGUUAUGGCUCAGUGGUAGAGCACUUACCUAGAAAGUGUGAGGCUGUGGGUUCAAUUCUCAGCACCA
rnacentral:tRNA from 1 species